rnacentral:rRNA from 1 species
UCGAGGAUCUUCGGCAAUGGGCGCAAGCCUGACCGAGCGACGCCGCGUGCGCGAUGAAGGCCUUCGGGUUGUAAAGCGCUGUCGAGGGGGAGGAAGCCGCAAGGUUGACCUAUCCCUGGAGGAAGGACGGGCUAAGUUCGUGCCAGCAGCCGCGGUAAGACGAACCGUCCUAACGUUGUUCGGAAUCACUGGGCUUAAAGGGCGCGUAGGCGGGCUCUCAAGUCCGGGGUGAAAUCUUUCGGCUCAACCGGAAAAUAGCCUUGGAUACUGGGAGUCUCGAGGGAGGUAGGGGCGGGUGGAACUUCCGGUGGAGCGGUGAAAUGCGUUGAUAUCGGAAGGAACGCCGGUGGCGAAAGCGACCCGCUGGACCUCUUCUGACGCUGAGGCGCGAAAGCCAGGGGAGCAAACGGGAUUAGAUACCCCCGUAGUCC